UUUGUAAUGAAUGAUCCAGGAUCCAAAAGUUCUUCGCGGAGUUCAAAGACAGUUGCAAUGUGUUUGCUAAUUUAGUGACAGAUUAAGAAAGAAGUUCAAACAAGCAUUGUCAUGGGAAAACAUGAAAAAGGAAGAAGUUGGAGGUGGACAAAAAUCAGGAUGAAUAUACUAGAGAAACUAUUAAAGCACAGAAGAAUGACAACAAUAUAAAUCUAAAUGUAAUCAUUCAAGGAAUUAAAUUCAUUUUUAAUCUCGAAA